GAUGAACGCUGGCGGCGUGCCUAAUACAUGCAAGUCGAGCGAACAGAUAAGGAGCUUGCUCCUUUGACAUUAGCGGCGGACGGGUGAGUAACACGUGGGUAACCUACCUAUAAGACUGGAAUAACUCCGGGAAACCGGGGCUAAUGCCGGAUAACAUUUAGAACCGCAUGGUUCUAAAGUGAAAGAUGGCUUUGCUAUCACUUAUAGAUGGACCCGGGCCGUAUUAGCUAGUUGGUAAGGUAACGGCUUACCAAGGCAACGAUACGUAGCCGACCUGAGAGGGUGAUCGGCCACACUGGAACUGAGACACGGUCCAGACUCCUACGGGAGGCAGCAGUAGGGAAUCUUCCGCAAUGGGCGAAAGCCUGACGGAGCAACGCCGCGUGAGUGAUGAAGGUCUUCGGAUCGUAAAACUCUGUUAUUAGGGAAGAACAAAUGUGUAAGUAACUGUGCACGUCUUGACGGUACCUAAUCAGAAAGCCACGGCUAACUACGUG
rnacentral:rRNA from 1 species